rnacentral:misc_RNA from 1 species
UCCGGUUUGACACCGGCAGUCUCCUAUGAGUCCCCGACAUAACUCGCUGGCAACAUAGGACGGGGGUUGCGCUCGCUGCGGGACUUAACCCAACAUCUCACGACACGAGCUGGCGACAGCCAUGCACCACCUGUGAUCGUGCCCCGAAGGGAAGACGUGUUUCCACGCCGGUCACGAACAUGUCAAGCCCAGGUAAGGUUCUUCGCGUUGCGUCGAAUUAAACCACAUGCUCCGCUGCUUGUGCGGGCCCCCGUCAAUUCCUUUGAGUUUUAGCCUUGCGGCCGUACUCCCCAGGCGGGGCACUUAAUGCGUUAGCUUCGGCACGGGAGGAGUCGACACCUCCCACACCUAGUGCCCAUCGUUUACGGCGUGGACUAC